AGACAAAUUGAAUACGAUAAAAUAUCGUAUGUGCUUACCGUAACCGGCAUGAGCGACCCGAUGAGUAUAGUCGAUAUAGUAAUUGUUGGGCGGAUCCAGGAAAAGAUAAUGAAGCUCGGAUGGGAGGUUGAUUGUUUUUUAAAUGCGUAUUUGUGCGCACGCACAUUUAUGUGGAGCAAAUCAAGCCAAUAGUAUAUUGGGGAACGAACGUGGAGACGGAAAUUGGGGUCCCCCUCCCCUAGAUCUACCGCCAACGGGUAGUCAUUUUUA